rnacentral:rRNA from 1 species
UACAGGAGGGGGCUAGUGCUGUUCGAAAUUACUGGCCGUAAAGAGCACGUAUGCGGAUUGCAAAGUCAGAAGUGAAAUCCCAGGGUUCAGCACUUGGAACUGCCUUUGAAACUCGCAGUCUUGAGGUCGAGAGAGGUGAGUGGAAUUCCGAGUGUGGAGGAGAAGUUCGUACAUAUUCGGAGGGACACCAGUGGCGAAGGCGGCUCACUGGCUCGAUACUGACGGUGAGGGGCGAAAGCGUGGGGAGGAAACAGGAUUAGAUCCCUUGGUAGUGCACGCCGUAAACGAUGAAUGGCAGUGGUCGGGUAGCAUGCUAUUCGGUGACACACUUAGCGGAUUAAUCAUUCCGCAUGGGGAGUACGGUAGCAAGAUUACAACUCAAAGGAAUUGACGGGGGUCCGCACAAGCGGUGGAGCAUGUGGAUUAUUUCGAAGCAACGCGCAGAACCUUCACAUCCCUUGACAUCGGGAUCGCGGUUACCGGAGACGGUUUCGUUCAGUUCGGCUGGAUGCCAGACAGGUGAAGCAUGGCUGUCGUCAGCUCGUACCGUGAGAUGUUCGGGUAAGUCCGGCACCGAGCGCAUACCACACUUUUAGUUGCCAUCAUUCAGUCGGGCACUUUAGGAGAGCUGCCGAUGAUAAGUCGGAGGAAGGUGUGGAUGACGUCAAGUUCUCAUGGUCCUUACGGGUUGGGGUACUCCCGUGCUACAAUGGGGGUGACAAUGGGCCAAUCCCAAAAACACAUCUCAGUUUGGAUUGGGGUAUGCAACUCGUCUCCAUGAAGUCGGAAUCGGUAGUAAUUGCGUACCAUCAUGACGCGGUGAAUUCGUUCCCGGGCCU